rnacentral:rRNA from 1 species
UACGGAGGGGGCUAGCGUUGUUCGGAAUUACUGGGCGUAAAGCGCACGUAGGCGGCUUUGUAAGUUAGAGGUGAAAGCCCGGGGCUCAACUCCGGAAUUGCCUUUAAGACUGCAUCGCUAGAAUUGUGGAGAGGUAAGUGGAAUUCCGAGUGUAGAGGUAGAAAUUCGUAGAUAUUCGGAAGAACACCAGUGGCGAAGGCGACUUACUGGACACAUAUUGACGCUGAGGUGCGAAAGCGUGGGGAGCAAACAGGG